AUUGAACGCUGGCGGCAUGCUUUACACAUGCAAGUCGAACGGUAACAGGGUGCUUGCACCGCUGACGAGUGGCGAACGGGUGAGUAAUGCGUCGGAACGUGCCGAGUAGUGGGGGAUAACGCAGCGAAAGUUGUGCUAAUACCGCAUACGUACUGAGGUAGAAAGUGGGGGACCUUCGGGCCUCACGCUAUUCGAGCGGCCGACGUCUGAUUAGCUAGUAGGUGAGGUAAAGGCUCACCUAGGCGACGAUCAGUAGCGGGUCUGAGAGGAUGAUCCGCCACACUGGGACUGUGACACGGCCCAGACUCCUACGGGAGGCAGCAGUGGGGACCUUUGGACAAUGGGCGAAAGCCUGCUCCUGCCAUGCCGCGUGUCUGAAGAAGGCCUUCGGGUUGUAAAGGACUUUUGUCAGGGAGGAAAUCCCUAGUGCUAAUAACACUGGGGGAUGACAGUACCUGAAGAAUAAGCACCGGCUAACUACGUGCCAGCCGCCGCGGUAA
rnacentral:rRNA from 1 species